UCCAUUUCCAGGGAUAUGCCUCCUUCCUUCGCUGCCAUCGCACCAACAGAUUUACGCUUCAGGUACAGAAGUUCAAGCUUCUCUGCUACAGUUACCAAGAAGAAAGCGAAGCCAAUCACAGCCAUGAGAGCCGUCGUUCAGCGCGUCGCCUCCGCAAGCGUCGAGGUCGAAGGCCGCAUUGUGUCUGAGAUUGGACCGGGCCUUCUCGUCCUUGUUGGCCUCCACGAUUCCGACUCCGACGCCGAUGCCGACUACAUAUGUCGUAAAGUCUUGAACAUGAGAUUGUUCCCCAAUGAAAGUACAGGCAAAGGAUGGGACCAAAGUGUAAUGCAGAGGAAUUAUCAAGUUCUAUUAGUGAGUCAAUUUACCUUGUAUGGAUUCUUGAAGGGAAACAAGCCAGAUUUUCACGUUGCAAUGCCACCUCAAAAAGCGAAGCCCUUUUAUGCAUCUUUGGUUGCUAGAUUCAGGAAUGCCUAUAACACUGAUGCAAUAAAAGAUGGAGUUUUUGGAGCAAUGAUGAAGUUUGGUUAAUGACGGACCAGUAACAAUGCAGCUUGAUUCACAAUCUCCAAAGAAUUCAGUUGAUGCCACAGAAUCUUGAUGAAGUGGCUGGCCUGCUUUCAUGAAAAAAGAUUUCUUGAUUUUGGGCUUCACCAUCUGGCAUUAGCAUGGAGUCAUAUUCCAAUGAGCUGUAUUGUGCACACACAGAACUCCGAUGUCUCUGUCAUGAAAUCUGCUUAUGGCUGUGCCCUUUUGUUACACCUAACAACAGGACAAGACAGCGGUUGAAGAUAUAAUGAGAACUUCAUCCAACUUUACAUAAAUCAUCAUUGAUAAACUUAUUACUUUUUAUCCCUUCUAUAUGGUAAUAUAACAUUAUAAAUCCUGGGUUUAGGCUGAUCAGUGCCUUUUCAGUUGUUAUCUUUGGAUUUUGGAUGUUCCAACUUUCAAGCUGCUCAAAAUGCUAAGUAACUUUAGUUUCUCUGUUGACAUCGUCAGAAAUAUUGUAAACUGAGUCCAAAAUGAGAGAGAGAGGAGGCUUUGCUUUUCAUAUACUUUGACAAAGGCUAGCUGCAGCAUAAAUAGGAAACCUUUGAAGGUGGAGAAUGUAAUAAAAUGGAAUGAAACAAGUAAUUUUGCAGAUGAAAAAUAUUCUUUAUAUCUGAAAA